UACAGAGGGUGCGAGCGUUGUCCGGAAUCACUGGGCGUAAAGGGCGCGUAGGUGGCGGGAUAAGCGUGUGGUGAAAGCCCGGGGCUCAACCCCGUGUCUGCCAUGCGGACUGUCUUGCUCGAGCGUAGUAGAGGCAGGUGGAAUUCCGGGUGUAGCGGUGGAAUGCGUAGAGAUCCGGAAGAACACCGGUGGCGAAGGCGGUUCUCUGGGCCUUACCUGACACUGAGGAGCGAAAGCGUGGGGAGCGAACAGG
rnacentral:rRNA from 1 species